UACAGAGGUCUCAAGCGUUGUUCGGAUUCAUUGGGCGUAAAGGGUGCGUAGGCGGCGCGGUAAGUCGGGUGUGAAAUCUCGGAGCUUAACUCCGAAACUGCAUUCGAUACUGCUCGGCUAGAGUGCGGAAGGGGCAACUGGAAUUCUUGGUGUAGCGGUGAAAUGCGUAGAUAUCAAGAGGAACACCUGCGGCGAAGGCGGGUUGCUGGGCCGACACUGACGCUGAGGCGCGAAAGCUAGGGGAGCGAACGGG
rnacentral:rRNA from 1 species